GUCCUGAGAUAAUGUCACUGUUUCUGUGUUUGAGUGUGAUCCAUUAACCCAGGCCACAGUCAAAUGCAACCCCUGGAACUUCACCUGAAAUGAGAGCAUGUUGUGGUUUCUCAGAGCCCUGCAGCUGCUGGUGCUGAACAGCUCUCUGGGGAUAGCAGAAUCACAGAAUGUUCAAGGACUCAGAUUUUACAGAUAAAGUCAACCCCUUGACUUCAAAGAUGUGAAAAUGAAGGCAGAGAAAGAUCCUGAUCCUACUCAUCUUUCAAGAAUUGUCUCCAUUUCUUAGCUUUCUCUACUCCUCCCCCUUUUCCAGUUAUUUUAGGCUAGAAGCUGUGCCCCCAAAGACAUCGACUUCCAAGAUCACUGAGGCAGAAACACAGGGAUGGAGCAGGCACUUAGCUCUUCAUGCCUCAACCGAGAAGGGCACCAAUUAUCUUCCUAUAGGUAUUGUUCAGAACAUGAUCCAUGGACCUGACCCACGUGUAAAAAGAUCUGGAAUUUAGAAGAGCCCAGAAACUACGGUGACUGCCAACUGCUUCUGUCAUAGUCACCUAUGAUCGUCAAUCAUCAGGGAAGUCCUUAAUAAAA